UACAGAGGGUGCGAGCGUUAAUCGGAAUUACUGGGCGUAAAGCGUGCGCAGACGGUCAUGUAAGUCGGGUGUGAAAGCCCCGGGCUCAACCUGGGAAUUGCAUUCGAGACUGCAUGGCUAGGGUGCGGAAGAGGGAAGCGGAAUUUCCGGUGUAGCGGUGAAAUGCGUAGAUAUGACAUAGAAUACCAAUUGCGAAGGCAGCUGGCUACACGAAUAUUGACACUCAGGCACGAAAGCGUGGGGAUCAAACAGG
rnacentral:rRNA from 1 species